CUGACAUUCAGCUAUGAAUCAACACAGCAGAUGGUGAUCCAUGCUGUGGAAGUCUCACAUCUCCUGAUUUAAUGGAGCUGCUUUGCACUUUUUACACUGUUUAUUCACCAACACUUUAUUUAAUAAAAGUCCCAUCUAGUUUUUAUGAGGAAUGUGAUGUUUUAAUUUCUCUGUGAAUAACUGCAGUCUAAUGGAACAGCUGGAGUUGUAACAUCUGUCCUGAUAUUGAUCAUGAAGUAUUGAUCAGAAUACUUAUGGUCAGCAGUCAUCCCUGAAGUUUUACAUUAAAAUCUUUACUUGUGUUGUGAACUUUGGUAAGAAGCAGAAACUUUAGCGUUGCCAUGGAUACAUGAGUGUUAAAUUCUGUCCAUGUUUCCAUUUUGGGAAAUUCAGUCCAGCAGAUGAGUUUGUUUUUACUGCCAGCUACCAUUCAGUCUGAGAUAUUAAGAAUAAAUAAAUGUGCAUAAUGUGGAAAUGAAGAGAUUUUAUUUUUAUUUAUUCCUACAGCUGCUGCAUGGAAAGUUCCAGAAUGUGGAGGAAUUUAGUCUCACAGUCACAGACAACAAAUAUUAUCUGAAAGUCAGGUUAUUGUUGUUUAUCAGCACAAUACAAAAAGAUUCAUGUUAGAAAUAUUCCAGUUAAGACUCUAGAAUAUCAUGAUUUAUGUAAAUUUACCUCAAUAAUAUGAAUGUUCAGGUUAAGAUUGUGCAGUGAUAUUUAUUAUGUAAGUUUAGCUGAUUAAAGUUUAUGACUCUGCACUACAAUAUUAUUUAUUAUUUAAAUUUACAUCAUUAUUAUAAUAUUUAGGGUCAGACCCUACAGUAUUGAGAUUAAGAAAUCAAAUAUUCUAUAAAAUGUAAAUACACUGAACUCAUUUGGAUAUAUUUAAGUGAGACUCUACAAUAUUAUUUGACACAAAUCUAUCUAAAUCAAAAUUUUAAUCAUUUUUACUCCAAACAUUUACUGGACUGAUUUAAACAUUAAAAUCACUCCUUUCUAAUCCUCUGCUGUACGUUCAAACCUGAGGCCUUAAAUAGAAACACACAAGUAUCUGAUUGAAGGAACUUCUGCAGAGUCCUGGUUCCAGAACAUGAUGAUAGAAUUAUAGACAAACUUUAACAAAAGCUGCCUGAGAGUUUACAGGUUUUUAUGUUAGAUUUCUUCAGUAAUUUAAUGAGAGUUAUCAGCAAAAAUCAAGUGUUCAUUUGAUGAACUUCAUUUCCUAAAACAUCCAGAAUUGGAGCUCAUAUCUUUGGCAGCUGUAAAGUUUCUGCUCCUUCAAAGUUCACAACACAAUGAAUGAAUUCCUAAAACACUCUCAAUGCUGGAGAGCGUUUGUGAUGCUGAAGCAGUGAUCAGUUUUUCUGUUUCUUCUCUGGAGAUGCACAAUGAGGGACGUCUGCAGAGACUGAGAAAGAGUCUCACCACAUCCUGACAUGAGGAAAAAGACUUUAUUGAAGACUACAAUGAGAAAAACUAUCAGACAGCAGACGGCUGCAUUCAAGGCUACAGGAGGAGUCCUACGAGGACGAGCCGGUCCACCUGAUGGAGGCCAGUCGCUGCGGUUCAAAGCCAACACCGACUACGUGGACUUCUACUGGACCACACGGAGGCCUUCAAACCGGACCAACAAGUUCAGCGACUCCCCGACUCGUGGGUCUGAGGACGCCGCCGAGCCUCGGUCCAGCCGGCCUCCUGUCUGUGGGUGUUUGAGUGCUGAGAGGCCUCCGUUGACUCGUCCCGCCUGCCGUCUCUGGAGCUGAAGCUGGAUUGGAACAGACCAAAGUACAGUCCAAUCACGAUGCCAGCUGCCUCUCAAAAGGCUCCUUCAUCUGGCAGGUGGCAGCACUUCUUCUGAGGGGAAGCUGAGCUGGUCAGGCAGAACUUUGGAGAUGUGUUCCAGUGGUUGGUGGAUGUGUGGGGAGAUAGAGAGGGACCUUUGAAUUGUUCACAAAGGAAAACAGGG
ensembl:lncRNA